rnacentral:rRNA from 1 species
GCAAGUCGAGCGCUACCUUCGGGUGGAGCGGCGGACGGGUUAGUAACGCGUGGGAAUAUACCCAGUUCUAAGGAAUAGCCACUGGAAACGGUGAGUAAUACCUUAUACGCCCUUCGGGGGAAAGAUUUAUCGGAAUUGGAUUAGCCCGCGUUAGAUUAGAUAGUUGGUGGGGUAAUGGCCUACCAAGGCGACGAUCCAUAGCUGGUCUAAGAGGAUGAUC